CCUACGGGUGGCUGCAGUGAGGAAUAUUGGUCAAUGGACGAGAGUCUGAACCAGCCAAGUAGCGUGAAGGAUGACUGCCCUAUGGGUUGUAAACUUCUUUUAUAUGGGAAUAAAAUGUUACACGUGUGGGAUGUUGUAGGGACCAUAGGAAUAAGGAUCGGCUAACGCCGGGCCAGCAGCCGCGGUAAUACGGAGGAUCCGAGCGUGAUCCGGAGUGAUUGGGUUUAAGAGGAGCGUCAGCUGUUAGGUAAGUCAGCGGUGAAAUGCCCCCGCUCAUCUGGGUGAAGUGCCCUUGAUACUGCCUUGCUUGACUGCUGAUGCCGUGGGCGGAUUGUGUGGUGUAGCGGUGACAUGCAUAGAUAUCACGCAGAACACCGAUUGCGUAGGCAUCUCACGACUCCGCGAUUGACGCUGCUGCACG
rnacentral:rRNA from 1 species